rnacentral:rRNA from 1 species
UACAGAGGUCUCAAGCGUUGUUCGGAUUCAUUGGGCGUAAAGGGUGCGUAGGCGGCGCGGUAAGUCGGGUGUGAAAUCUCGGAGCUUAACUCCGAAACUGCAUUCGAUACUGCCGUGCUUGAGGACUGGAGAGGAGACUGGAAUUUACGGUGUAGCGGUGAAAUGCGUUGAUAUCGGAAGGAACUCCGGCGGCGAAAGCGAUGCACUGGCUGAUUUCUGACACUGAGGUGCGAAAGCCAGGGGAGCAAACGGG